rnacentral:rRNA from 1 species
UGGGAUAACCUUGGGAAGCUGAGGCUAAGCCCGGAUAGAAGAUGGAGGCUGGAAUGCACCUUCUUUUAAAGGCAACACCUAAGGAUGAGACGGCGGCGGAUUAGGUUGUUGGUGAGGUAACGGCUCACCAGGCCAAAGAUCCGUACGGGCCAUGAGAGUGGUAGCCCGGAGAAGGACACUGAGAAACUGGUCCUAGCCCUACGGGGUGCAGCAGGCGCGAAAACUUUACAAUGCACGAAAGUGUGAUAAGGGAAUCCUAAGUGCUCAUACACAGUAUGGGCUUUUGCCAUGGGUAAAUACCUUGGAGAAUAAGUGGUGGGAAAGACUGGUGCCAGCAGCCGCGGUAACCCCAGCGCCACAAGUGGGAGCCACAAUUAUUUGGCCUAAAGCGUCCGUAGCUGGCUUGGUAAAUCUUUUGUGAAAUCGGAAGGCCCAACCUUCCGGCGUGCAGAAGACACUGCCUGGCUUGAGACCGGGAGGGGUAAGGAGUAUUCCUAGGGAACCGGUAAAAUGGGAUAAUCCUAGGAAGACUACCUGUGGCGAAGGCGCCUUACCAGCACGGGUUUGACAGUGAGGGACGAAGGCUAGGGGAGCAAACCGGAUUAGAUACCCGAGUAGUCCUAGCAGUAAACGCUGCCGGCUAGGUGUUGCACCAUCCAUGUGAUUGUGCAGUGUCGUAGCGAAGGCAUUAAGCCGGCCGCCUGGGAAGUAUGGUCGCAAGACUGAAACUUAAAGGAAUUGGCGGGGGAGCACCACAAGGGGUGCGGCGUGCGGUUUAAUCCAACUCAACGCGGUGAAUCUCACCAGAGGCGACGGCAGUAUGAAGCUCAGUCUAAAGGGCUUAGCUAACGAGCCGAGAGGUGGUGCAUGGCCGUCGUCAGCUCGUGCCGUAAGGUGUCCUGUUAAGUCAGGCAACGAGCGAGACCUGUGCGCACAAUUGCAAACGAACUAUGUGAUCGAGCACAAUGUGCGGACUGCCUUGGAAACAAGGAGGAAGGUGCAGGCUACGAUAGGUCUGUAUGCCCCGAAUCUUCUGGGCUACACGCGCGCAACAAUGAUAAGGACAAUGGGCUGCAACACCGUAAGGUGAAGCUAAUCCUCGAAACCUUAUCCUACUACAGAUUGAGGGCUGUAACUCGCCCUCAUGACGCUGGAAUCCCUAGUAAUCAGAGGUCAUCAUCCUCUGGUGAAUAUGUCCCUGCUCCUUGUACACACCGCCCGUCAAACCAACCGAGCAUAGUUUAGGUGAGUAACAGCUUAAUUGGCUGUCCCGAAUCUAAGUUAAGUGAGGUGGGUUAAGUCGUCACAAGGUA